GACAGAGGUCCCGAGCGUUAGGCGGAAUCACUGGGCUUAAAGCGUGUGUAGGCGGAUCGCUAAGUGCCUUGUGAAAUCCCACGGCUUAACCGUGGAACUGCUUGGCAUACUGGCGGUCUUGAGCAACCUAGGGGCAAGCGGAACAAAUGGUGGAGCGGUGAAAUGCGUAGAUAUCAUUUGGAACGCCAAUGGUGAAAACAGGUAACUGGGGCUGUGCUGACGCUGAGACACGAAAGCCAGGGGAGCGAACGGG
rnacentral:rRNA from 1 species